rnacentral:rRNA from 1 species
UACGUAGGUGGCAAGCGUUGUCCGGAUUUACUGGGCGUAAAGAGCGCGCAGGCGGUUAUUCAAGUCGAAUGUGAAAGCCCCCCGGCUCAACUGGGGAGGGUCAUUCGAUACUGAUCGACUCGAAGGCAGGAGAGGGUAGUGGAAUUCCCGGUGUAGUGGUGAAAUGCGUAGAUAUCGGGAGGAACACCAGUGGCGAAGGCGACUACCUGGCCUGUUCUUGACGCUGAGGCGCGAAAGCUAGGGGAGCAAACGGGG